UGGCAGAGUGGUUAAAGCACUUGGCUGCUAACUGAAUGGUUGGUGGUUCGAACCCACC
rnacentral:tRNA from 1 species